AAGAUUAAUGCACUGCAGCCUUCAACCGAUGACUCUGGUGUUCCCUUCACCCUGUGAUGCUGUUCUGAACUUCUGCAGUAUGCACUUUUCGAUUCUUGCCUUGCGCUAUACUGGACUGUCAAUCAAGUAACUGCAGAACCAAGAGAUUACGUGCUAGUGUGUAACUGUAUAUUUUGAUAGGAAUGCUGAAUUUUGCCUACCUGUAUUUAUAAAAUGGAAGAGUUUGUUGUCUAUUUACAUAUACAUUCAGAGUUCAGUGGGUGUGCAACUGUGCAUCAUGGACCUGGAUUUGGCAAUCCAUAUUUGGGCAAAUGUUUAGUUAGAAAUCAGGUUUCUGAUGAUGUUCAGUGGUGUGUACUUGUGUCUUGUACUGAAAUAUUGUAGUGUCUUUUGAUUUUUUGUGUAUCUAAAGAAUGAUGUAAAUCUUCAGCUAUUCUAAACGGCAGUUUUUUUUUGUUUGUGUUUU
rnacentral:sRNA from 1 species